GGCGGGACACGUGGUAUCCUGUCUGAAUAUGGGGGGACCAUCCUCCAAGGCUAAAUACUCCUGACUGACCGAUAGUGAACCAGUACCGUGAGGGAAAGGCGAAAAGAACCCCGGCGAGGGGAGUGAAAAAGAACCUGAAACCGUGUACGUACAAGCAGUGGGAGCCUCUUUAUGGGGUGACUGCGUACCUUUUGUAUAAUGGGUCAGCGACUUAUAUUCUGUAGCAAGGUUAACCGAAUAGGGGAGCCGAAGGGAAACCGAGUCUUAACUGGGCGUUAAGUUGCAGGGUAUAGACCCGAAACCCGGUGAUCUAGCCAUGGGCAGGUUGAAGGUUGGGUAACACUAACUGGAGGACCGAACCGACUAAUGUUGAAAAAUUAGCGGAUGACUUGUGGCUGGGGGUGAAAGGCCAAUCAAACCGGGAGAUAGCUGGUUCUCCCCG
rnacentral:rRNA from 1 species